rnacentral:rRNA from 1 species
CAGUCGCCACGGGAAUACGGAGGGAGCUAGCGUUAUUCGGAAUUACUGGGCGUAAAGCGCACGUAGGCGGCUUUGUAAGUAAGAGGUGAAAGCCUGGUGCUCAACACCAGAACUGCCUUUUAGACUGCAUCGCUUGAAUCAUGGAGAGGUCAGUGGAAUUCCGAGUGUAGAGGUGAAAUUCGUAGAUAUUCGGAAGAACACCAGUGGCGAAGGCGGCUGACUGGACAUGUAUUGACGCUGAGGUGCGAAAGCGUGGGGAGCAAACAGGAUUAGAUACCCGCGUAGUCCCUGUCUCUUAUAC